CGAAUCCAGGCAGAUUAAAAUACGGCCUGGUACCUAUUGCAUGUGUAAUUAAUUAUAGGCGUGGCCGUCCACGCCCAUGUACUAUCUACUAUUAUAUGAAGCUUUUUAUAGCCUAGCUAGCUAGCUAGCUGUGGCCUUCUCUAUGGUGUUGUGUUGAGAAGGCUUGCACACGAAGCCAGAAGAGGCUCUCAUCUACCUCUAUGAUGGUUGGAUGGUCGUGAUGUUUUGAACUGGGUUUCUGACAGACUAUGGCAAGUCUUUGACUUUGUGCUUCCAACUGCAACCAUAGGACCAUCGUAGAGAGCCUCUUCUGGCUUUAGACAAGUGUGUAAGCCUUCUUGACAACACAAUAGAGGGCAUAAAGCCACAGGAGACAA